GACGAACGCUGGCGGCGUGCCUAAUACAUGCAAGUUGAGCGCUGAAGGUUGGUACUUGUACCAACUGGACGAGCAGCGAACGGGUGAGUAACGCGUGGGGAAUCUGCCUUUGAGCGGGGGACAACAUUUGGAAACGAAUGCUAAUACCGCAUAAAAACUUUAAACACAAGUUUUAAGUUUGAAAGAUGCAAUUGCAUCACUCAAAGAUGAUCCCGCGUUGUAUUAGCUAGUUGGUGAGGUAAAGGCUCACCAAGGCGAUGAUACAUAGCCGACCUGAGAGGGUGAUCGGCCACAUUGGGACUGAGACACGGCCCAAACUCCUACGGGAGGCAGCAGUAGGGAAUCUUCGGCAAUGGACGAAAGUCUGACCGAGCAACGCCGCGUGAGUGAAGAAGGUUUUCGGAUCGUAAAACUCUGUUGGUAGAGAAGAACGUUGGUGAGAGUGGAAAGCUCAUCAAGUGACGGGAACUACCCAGAAAGGGACGGCUAACUACGG
rnacentral:rRNA from 1 species